rnacentral:rRNA from 1 species
AUUGAACGCUGGCGGCAGGCCUAACACAUGCAAGUCGAGCGAGUGGCGGACGGGUGAGUAAUGUAUGGGGAUCUGCCUGAUGGAGGGGGAUAACUACUGGAAACGGUGGCUAAUACCGCAUACCAUCGGAUGUGCCCAUAUGGGAUUAGCUUGUUGGUGGGGUAACGGCUCACCAAGGCCACGAUCCCUAGCUGGUCUGAGCGGAUGACCAGCCACACUGGAACUGAGACACGGUCCAGACUCCUACGGGAGGCAGCAGUGGGGAAUAUUGCACAAUGGGCGCAAGCCUGAUGCAGCCAUGCCGCGUGUAUGAAGAAGGCCUUCGGGUUGUAAAGUACUUUCAGCGGGGAGGCGUUACCCGCAGAAGAAGCACCGGCUAACUCCGUGCCAGCAGCCGCGGUAAUAC